UAUUCCAUUAAAUAUUGAUUUCUAAACUCUUAAAACUUUAUGAAUAUGAACUUGUUUUCUUUGCAUUGUUUGAGGUCUGAAAGCUCUGCAUAUUUUUUGUUAUUUCAGCCAUUUCUCAUUUUCUGCAAAUAAAUGCUUCUUUUAAAUUGGGAGAAAUAUUGUCUGUAGUUUGUAGAAUAAAACAACAAUGUUCAUUUUACUUAAACAUAAACCUAUAAAUAGCAAAAUCAGAGAAACUGAUACAAAAGUGGUCUCUUAAUUUUUUCCAGAUUUGUAUAUACCAAUGUAAAUACCUGCUUAUUUAUAAAAUGUCGAAACUAGGACUACAUUUACCGUAUUAACGUUACAGAGAAAUUUAAGAAAAUCUGUAAACAAAUGCAGAAACAUUUUCACUUUUUUUUUUGAGUGCAAUAAGUAUGUUAUCAAAAAUCUUUCAACAAAUGUAAAAUAAUUUUUAAGUGGUGUUAAAUAAUAUUAUUAUAACUCUGUAACCAGAUUCAAAUAGCCAAAAGCAAAAGAUCUCACUGAUCAUGAACUUACAGGUAAACACCCUCAAAAUCCAUCAUCUUCUGCUCGAUGAGCCAAGCGCCGAAUCUGAAGCAACCAGCGUAAGCAAAA